rnacentral:tRNA from 1 species
ACCUAAAUAGCUUAAAUAGAGUAUAACACUGAAGAUGUUAGGGAAAUAGUUUUAUUUUUAGGUA